AUUGAACGCUGGCGGCAGGCUUAACACAUGCAAGUCGAACGAGUGGCGGACGGGUGAGUAAUGCUUGGGAAUCUGGCUUAUGGAGGGGGAUAACUACUGGAAACGGUAGCUAAUACCGCGUACCAUAGGAUGAGCCCAGGUGGGAUUAGGUAGUUGGUGGGGUAAAGGCUCACCAAGGCGACGAUCCCUAGCUGGUCUGAGAGGAUGACCAGCCACACUGGGACUGAGACACGGCCCAGACUCCUACGGGAGGCAGCAGUGGGGAAUAUUGCGCAAUGGGGGCAACCCUGAUGCAGCCAUGCCGCGUGAAUGAAGAAGGCCUUCGGGUUGUAAAGUUCUUUCGGUAGCGAGGCGUUACCUACAGAAGAAGCACCGGCUAACUCCGUGCCAGCAGCCGCGGUAAUAC
rnacentral:rRNA from 1 species